AAUGAACGUUGGCGGCGUGGAUUAGGCAUGCAAGUCGAGCGGGUGCAGCAAUGCACCAGCGGCGGAAGGGUGAGUAAGGCGACGGCAACCAACCCCGAGGAUGGGUAUAGCCGCGGGAAACUGCGGGUAAUCCCCAGCGAUGCGGCGGCGUCGGCAUCGACGCUCCGCCAAAUGGAUUCGUCCGCCUCGGGACGGGCCGUCGUGGUAUUAGGUUGUUGGCGGGGUAGCGGCCCACCAAGCCUGCGAUGCCUACCGGGCGUGCGAGCGCGGCCCGGCACACUGGGACUGAGACACUGCCCAGACUCCUACGGGAGGCUGCAGUCGAGAAUCUUCGGCAAUGGGCGCAAGCCUGACCGAGCGACGCCGCGUGGAGGACGAAGGCCUUCGGGUUGUAAACUCCUGUCGAGGGGGAGAAAGGUCCGCAAGGGCUUGAUCGAUCCCUGGAGGAAGCACGGGCUAAGUUCGUGCCAGCAGCCGCGGUAAGACGAACCGUGCGAACGUUAUUC
rnacentral:rRNA from 1 species